UACGUAGGGUGCAAGCGUUGUCCGGAAUUAUUGGGCGUAAAGAGCUCGUAGGCGGUCUGUCGCGUCUGCUGUGAAAACUCAGGGCUUAACCCUGAGCUUGCAGUGGGUACGGGCAGACUAGAGUGCGGUAGGGGAGACUGGAAUUCCUGGUGUAGCGGUGAAAUGCGCAGAUAUCAGGAGGAACACCAGCGGCGAAGGCGGCGCUCUGGGCUGGAACUGACGCUGAGGAGCGAAAGCCAGGGGAGCAAACGGG
rnacentral:rRNA from 1 species